UACAGAGGGUGCGAGCGUUAAUCGGAAUUACUGGGCGUAAAGCGCGCGUAGGCGGCUUUGCAAGUCGGGUGUGAAAUCCCCAGGCUUAACCUGGGAACUGCAUUCGAGACUGCAUUGCUAGAGUAUGGGAGAGGGAAGUGGAAUUUCCGGUGUAGCGGUGAAAUGCGUAGAUAUCGGAAGGAACAUCAGUGGCGAAAGCGACUUCCUGGACCAAUACUGACGCUCAUGUGCGAAAGCGUGGGAGCAA
rnacentral:rRNA from 1 species